rnacentral:lncRNA from 1 species
CCAGAAAUUUUUUUUCCCCUCUGUGCUUUCCUUAUGACGCUGUGAAGUACCUGGCGCGUCACGUGAACAUGAGAACAUGGCCGGCGUGCUUGGAGGGAGAUCGGAAAGAUCACACGAGAGUUGAGAUAUACUGUAGUUGAGAUCACCUGUUAACUGGGUCAACGGCUAAGUGCGUCAACCAUCGCCGCGUGUUUUAGAGUAAACACUUAACUCAACGCAAGAACAUCUGAGAUCGCCGCAAGAAACAUGUGGAGUGGUGACAAAUGCGGCAUGCGGUGACGUCCCUUCGUUGGAAAGUGUUUUGAGACCGAAAGAAUCGCAGCGUGACGACGAUAAGUUCCCGAGUACGUGGAUUUGUCGUUAGAAAACGCGAAAGAUAUUCUACGAGAAUGCACAAAACCGUGAGCCGAUGGUUUCGGCCGAUGACUGUAUACGAGGUGUUUUAAAUCGUCUGUAAUGUGAAUAAAUGUGUGGUGGGCGCUGUUAAACGUUUGCAGCUUCUCUUGAGUGAAUUACCGCUGCGGUGUUGCAGACUGUGUAGCAAACCGAAAUAAACUAGUA